AUUAAACUACUGUAUAACAUAGGUUAUGAAAGUCUUUAAACAUAAAAAUAGGCAUAAAUUUGUUGGACUCCAAAUAAGGCAGUGUUAUUAAUAAAAUGGAAAAUGACAGAAGAUAUUAGGUUUUCUAAAAAAGGUACAUAUUAGGCAUUAAAUAAAAACUUUAUUUAGUUUUUUUUUUUAGAAUUCCUUAUUUAAGUUCUCGGGUUAAGUGGUUUGGUGCACCUAAGCGUACAUUCGUCUUUGCUCUUGUGACACCAGAGGGGAAUCCCAGAAUUAGUGACACAACAAGAACAACUGCGAUUUUUGUCUUGAGGGUUGCAAUUCAUUUGCUUGCAAGUUUUUUUAGCUGCAUUGCCCGCGUUAAGACCUUGGCCAUGAACAACUAUAUAAACAAAAAGUAACAACAAUAUCAUUGGGCAGAAAGAAUAAUUAUCAAAGAUAUUAUGAUGUGAUUGCAAUGCUGGUAAAGAUAGAUGAUGAACAAAUGGAAACAAAUAUAAACACAUACAUUCAUGAAGAGGAAAUAAAGCAAUCAUGAUGAUGCAAAAAAUAGCAAGUUGUGAUGACGACAUAUUGUUCUUUGUGAUAUUCUUAUGAUACAAGCACGUUACUUAUUGUUUCUUUUGAAUUUUAUGUUUACUAGUUUGAUGGUUGAAAUUUCUAUUCAAGGUGGAGAUUAAUUUAUAGAUAGAAGUGUAAGUUUUUCAUGCCGAUCCAUAAUAAUUGGUUUAGAUUGUUUGACUUUUUCUAAAUAUUGUGUGGUAAUUAUUUUGGUGAUUUAACUCUUUUCUUUGUUAAGUUGUUAAUAACAAUUAGGCUUGGGCAUUUCGGAUAUCGGUUUGGUUUUCUUCGGGUUUCAGAUAGUUUGGGUAGGGGGCUAGAGGAUCCUUGUAAUACUUGACCUAUUUUCGGUUCGGGUUUGGUUCAGAUAGUUUUGGGGUUUGUUCGGUUUGGAUAAUAAAACUAGGAACUAGAAAAAUACCCAGAAAAAUAGGUUUUCAUUUGGUUUUGGUUAGGUUAUUUCGGGUAGUUCGGGUAAGUCUGGUAAAAUAUAGGGUGUUUUGGAUAAAAUAUUGAAUAAUUAUGAUGAUUCGGGUAAAAAUCUUGGAUAUUUUGAAUUACUUUGGAUAUUUUGGAUAAAAAUAUCCGAAUACUUUCAGAUAGUUCGGAUACUUUUAUAAGAAUUUAGUUUUCUUCAAAUAUUUUUGGAUACUUUUAAUAGAUUUCAAAUUACCAAAAUAUAUAGAUUUAAUUAUGUUAUAUGUAUAUACAUAUAUAUAAAUUAAUAUUUUAAUAUAUUCUGGUAACCGUUCGUUUCUCGGUUCGGUUAUUUCUAAUAGAAAUAUAGGACCAUUUGGAUAUUUGAGGGUUUCGGUCCGAUUCCAAUUUCAGGUAUUUUAGUUCGGUUCUUCGGUUCCGGUUUUUUUUUUGCUCGGGCCUAUGUGUAUGUAUAUAUUGGUGUAAUAAGUUUGUUAGUGUUUGUAUGUACAGGCGAUGGGAGCAAGUGAGUGGAAGCUAAUAGUUUGUGUGUGUAUGUGCAAGCGUUGGUAUAUGACCGUUUGAUCAAUCUUCAUUUAAAAUUAAUGAAAUAACAUAGCAUAAAAUAACAAAAUAAUAUAACAUAACAACACAUGUGGGUCCAUGUAAUUAAUUUAGAGAAUAAAAUGAGAGUCUAAUUUUUAUUGAGAAUGAUAUUGUGAUGUCACCUAACUAAAAACAGGAGUGUAAUACAAUGACAACUCAGUUUGGUAAAAAUGUAAUUAAUAAAAAAAUAAAUGUUGUGCAUAUACAUCCAUCUCCGCAACUCGAAAAUAUUCCCGGAGCCCGAAAUUUUUUUUUCUUUCACGUUUUUAUUUUUUUUCUUGUUGGUGUGUUAAAAUUGAUGUUCAAACGUCCAUAUUUAUAGAAAAUUUUCGAAUGUUGAAGUGUUACUACGAAUUUACGACGAAAUUUAGUUAGGUAGCCGAAACAAAAAACGUGUUACAACUACAAAGUUGGUGGACUCGCAAUUUUCUCGUUAAGUAAACGUAAAAUAUUUCGUAAAGUAGUCGAACUUACGAGGAAACCGUCUUUCCUUGUAAAAACAACGUUAUGUUACGUCGUUUUUACGACGAAAUCGUUUCCUUGUUAUUUUACGACGAUUUUCCUCAUAAGAUUCUCGUAAAGUCGACGUAAAUUUACGAGGAUUAAUUUCCUCGUUAAAUUUCGUCGCUAUAGUUGUGUUUUCUUGUAGUGUAGCAAGGAGUCAUGGCUAUUGAAAGUUUUUUCCCGAAAAUAAGCGGAAAAGAGCCAAGAACCUUACUGGAGGUAGGAUAUAAGCACAAAGUAACAGUAACAAAUUCAAAUCAACCUCAAGCUCAAGGAAGAUGAAAUCUUGAUAAUUAAUAAUCUUCUUGAAGUUGCGAUAAUAUGAUUGGUAGAGAACAACAAGUGAUGUGUUGUGGAAACCAACUGCCUUAUUUUAAUGGCAUUUAUAUUAUAAACAAUAUCACCAUUCACCAGAAUGUGAUCCAAAACUAUAGGCGAUGGAGAUUUCCGUACAUCUUUUGCAGCAACAUAAUUCUUCACGGGACCAACAACCAGUGGCUGCAAACCUAAAUUUGGUUAUCAACCAAAUUGACAUUUAAUUUAGUAUAAAAUUUCCUCAAAAACUCUAUGUUUCAUAUUAUAACAAAUCAUGUAAACUGUAUUUUCAAACUGAUAUUUAGUGUAAAUUCCCGACUAUGUGAUGCCUGAGCACAACUUGAGUAUCUUAAGUUUGUUGUUGAUAAAUGACGAGAAUGUUCCAUGAGAUGAGAGAUUUACAGCAGGGUUGACUUACACAAUGAAGAAGUUGAAAUGGAAUAGACACUAAAGAAAAUAUAAAGAGAUGGUGUUGCAUGUUGUAGAGAAAUGCGUUAAGGUGGAUUUGGGUGUGUUUUGUUUUGUUAAAAAAAAAAAAAAAAUCAUGGCUAAGAGAAGAUUUUGUGGAUUUCGUAGAUGAUUUGAUUUUGCACUUGCUGAAGUUAUUUAGCAUAUAUCUUCUCUACAAGUGCAUAUAUCAUAUCAUUUGUGGAUCAAAAUCAAAUCAUGAUUUUGUACAAGUGCAUAUAUCAUUUGUGGAUCAAGUGCAUAUAUGAUUUAGCAAUCCACAAAUCUUCUUGAAGUUGCAUAUAUCAUUUGUGGAUUUCGUAGAUGGUUUGAUAAUUCACUUGAUCGUUUUAAUUGUACAACUAAGUAGAUAAAAUUGUUUUUGUUAUAAGUAAAGAAGAGAAGAAACAGGAAGUGGUGUUCUUAAUUCUAUUAAAUAAUGAGUUUUUUUUUGUAUAGAGAUAAAAUAGAAGAUUUUUGCUUGGAGAUUAUAUCGGACUUGGAAAAUAAGUAAAGCUCAUUAUUCAAGUAAAUCUAGAAAUUUUAUACUGGACAUAAUAUAAUAUUUAUAGCACUUUUCCUUGAUGACUAUUAUAUCGAACUACUUAUUGAAAUGCCUUAGAUCCUACCUAGUCAAAAACCUUAUAAGGAAAACCUAACCAGAAAAAUCAUGGCUAAGAGAAUAAGAGUCGGUGAAAAAUUAUUUUCCCUCAUGUGUACAUAAGUCAAAUUCUUACACGAGAAACAUUUGGUUCAAGACUCAAAACUAAAGAUGGGAGAACUAUUUAUUACUUAUUGGCUUGAUGCGAUUAAUGUUGCUGCAAAAUAUUCACACUUUUCACAAUGAAUAUGCAAAAAUUAUCAAAGACUUAAAGACGUGAAUUGUCAUAGAAUUUAUCUUAACACAUUUAAAUGUUAAACCUAUUUUCAAUAAUCUCAGUGCUGGACUAUCAUGCUGGUUAAAUGUUUAAAAUCUAAGAAGUAUUGAUACUGAAUUUUAAAAAGAAACAGUCUAAUAUAAUGCUUUACAAUAUAUAAUUCUAAUUCAUAAAAUACAAUAUGAGAUGAUUGUCAAAAUAAAUGAUGGGUUUGUCUAUAUAUGUACUUCCCAUGUAUGAUAUGUAUGAUGUUUUGCAUUACACAUAUGUUUCAGGUAAUACACUCUGAUUGUGUUGUUAUGAUGAAAAUAGGUACAAAGAUAAAAAUCUAUGAGAAAUGGUGUGUGUAUGAUCAGGAAGACAGCUGUGUGUGUUAGAAAUAGUCAAAUUAUUGUCUAGUAAUCAUAUUGGACCAAUUGAUAUAAGUAUGACAUUCAUGAUUUACUGAUUAUUUAUAAAGAAUUAUUUAUUUAUAAAAUAUUUUGAUACAGCGAGUCUUUUUCGGCCAAAAUGUGAAUUUCAUAUAUAUGAUUAAGACUUUGUAAAUAAUUAUAAAAGUUAGUGAUUUUUUUAAAAGGAGGAGCAUACAAUUCCAUUAAGGAAAUGGUUGGACUUUGUUUCUGGUAACGCAACCAAAAUUACAUGUGCAACCUACAUUAUAAAAAAAUGCUUGAGAAUUACUCCUUUAAAUCAUACAUUUACUUUCUGAGGCAUACCCACAUUUAGGGGUGUCAAAAUGGGUCAAAUGGGUCAACCCAACCCAUAACCCAAAUGAGUUUAUUGUUAAUGAGUCAUGGGUCAACCCAACCCAUUUAAUAAAUAUGUUGGGUUGACCCAUGAUCCAUUUAAUUAAAUAGAUUAGAUGGGUUAAUGGUUGGCUCAUCAACCCAACAUCUUUAUAAUUAAUUAUUUUUAAGUUAAGACUAAGUUGAUCGAAAUGAGAAAACAUUUUUUUGUGGGAAAAUGGUUUUUGCAGUUUUUGGCGAAAAACGCAUUUUUGCGGGAAAAUGAGUUUUUGCAGUUUCGGCGGGAAAACACGUUUUGUGGUUUUAGCGGAAAAUGUGUUUUUGCGGUUUUGGAGGGAAAACACGUUUUUGGGUUUUGGCGGGAAAACACGUUUUUUGCAGGAAACGCGGUUUUGCGGGAACACACGUUUUUGCGGGAAAACGCGUUUUUGCUGGAAAAUGCGUUUUUGCAGGAAAACCCGUUUUUGCGGGAAACUCGUUUUUGCGGGAAACCCGUUUUUGCGAGAAAACACAUUUUUUGCGGAAAAAACCGUUUUUGCGGGAGAAAACGCAUUUUUGCGGGAGAAAACGCGUUUUUGCGGAAUAUUGUGUUUUUGCGGGAAAAAUGCGUGUUUUACGGUUUUGGCGGGAAACGCGGUUUUGCGGUUUUGGCGGGAAAACGCGAUUUUGCAGUUUUGGCGGGAAAAGUGGUUUUUCAGUUUUGGCGGGAAAUUGCGUUUGUGGUUUUGGCAGGAAAAUAUGUUUUUGCGGGAAAUAUGGUUUUGCGGGAAAACGAGUUUUUGCGAUUUUGGCGAAAAAACGCGUUUUUGCGGUUUUGGCGAAAAAACGUAUUUUCGCGGUUUUAGCGGAAAAACUUAUUUUUGCGGUUUUGGCGGGAAACGUAUUUUACCACCGAAUAAAUGAUUGAACUUUUGAGAAACUCAUGAUUUUCCAAUUUCCAAUUCUGCCAAACCUUAGAAUUGGGUGGUUUAUCCAUAGUUGACCCAACCUAAUAAACUCAUUAACUUGUUAACCCAUUAACUUGUUAACCUAUUAACCUAUUAACCCAUUAACCUAUUAACCCAUUAACCCAUUGGAUCAAAAAUAAAUAGUUCAUUUGGGUUAAUGAGUCAGCCUAUGGAUCAUGACCCAUUUUGACACCCCUACCCACAUUGAUGAGUAUGGUGUCACGUGCCCCCAUCUGAUUAUAUGCAAUAUGUAUUUCAUGUGGUUACAAGUUGGACAAACAACUUAGUAGUUUUUAUUGUUCCCCGUCUCUCUCGUGAGGGGUUCGAUGCCAAUCUAUACUAUUAAAAGGGAAGAAGUCCUAAAAAAUCUACUUAAACAAGGUUGUUGAACCAUUUCAUUAGAUUUAACUAUUUAUUUGGUCUUACCUUAUAUAUCUCUAACUAUAUAAAUACUUUCAAUAAUUUAAAUGAAUCUCAUUUAUUAUUCUCUCAUAAUCUAUUACUCCCUCUGUUUCAUAAUACUUGAUGUUUUGUAGUAGUACACAAAGUUUAAGAAAAUUACAUUUUUCUAGAAAAAUAUUUUAAAGAUAUAAUUUUAAAAUCAGUUAACCAAUUAUAAAAAAGACUGUAAAAUCUCAAAACUUCCUUAAAAUCUCAAAACUUCAUGUAAAUUGAAACAAAACAAACCUUCUAAAACAUCAUCUAUAUUGAAACGGAGGGAGUAUAUAAUUACUCUAACAAUAAAUCACCAUGAAUAUAUGACAUAUUUUUCAAACAUGUUUACACAUGAUGUGAUUAUUACCACAUAUAGUUUCAUUAAUAGUAUAAAUUUUUAAUGGUUUAGUUAUGUUUAAUAGGUAUAUAAUUUAUAUUUUAAAAAUUUAAGUACUCAUUUGGUCCUUAGUUUGAUUUCUAUUUUUCGGUUCCAAAGAUAUAGGAUAUGCUCGGUUAUUUAUGAAAUUUAGCUUAAUUUUGGAUUUUUUCCAGUUUGGUAUAGUUCAGUGCACCCGUAUAAAUGUACCUAAACCUAUACAUUAUCUUAUAUAAAAAUUAUAUAAGAAAAAUUUAUUUAAUUUCAAAAAUAGAUCAACGCUUUCUAAGCGCCGAUCAAAAUCUGGUUAAGCUUUUUUUGUGGGUCAUAUAGUUAAAAAAAAACAUCUCUUUAAUUACAUUUUCAUAUAACCUGUUAUUGUUUGUGCAUUUAGGCAUUGACUGUUUUUAGUGGAAUAAAAAUAACACACUGCGGAAAAAAAAAUCUGUUACCAUUCAGCUAAAUGUUCAACUGAAAAGAAAGUAACAAAGUGUAAUUUGACAUACAGUAAUAUAGACAUUUUUUAAUUAUUAAAUUGUAUAAAAAACACAUAUACAUUCAUUAAUAUCUUAUUUAUAUAAUAUACAUAAACUAAAGUUUAAUUGUGUAUUAUUUGAUAAUAAAAUAUUUUUGCUAAAAAUACUUAUUUAUCAAAUAAAUUAUAAUUUUUUUGAACUAUAAUAAAUAUUAUAUUAAAUUUUGUUUUCUCAGUUUAUGUCAACAGAAAUAUGAGAUAUUGAACGAGGACACACACAUAUAUAAUUUACAAGGAUAUAUAUAUAUAUAAUAUUUAUUAUAAAUAAUAUAUAUGCUUAGAUUGUAUAGCUGAUUUCCUUUUCAAAAUUUCAAAAUAUAUUUAUUAUAUAUAUUCCGUAGUGUUUAUUAUAAAUGUUACCAUUCAAACAUUUGCUCAAUACUGGUAACUCUAUAUGUUACCAUUCACAUAUUGUUUUGAGCUUUUGUUUUAACCAAACUUUAUUUGUUUUCCAAUAUGUAUUUCUUUCGUAUAAACUGUAUUUAAACUAUAGUGCAAUAUCUAAUCCACUCGUCCCACAUUGCUCAAUCCACUCUUACCAUUCGAAGCAUUAGUAUGUUUUGAAUUUAUAAACAUUGUUUCUUUCUUUCUUUUUUCUUUUUUGUACCUUUUCUUAGGCCGUCCAUGAUUUGAAGGAUACUUGAAUAUGCCAAAUGAGACAUUGAUCUCAGUCAUAACCUUAGAAUCAAGGGCGUAUAUACAUUAUUCUUUAAUUGUAGUUUUUUUCUAGCUUAAAUUAAUUGGACUUAAAAGGAAAUUUCAAAUUUUGAUAUCUAGUCACAAAAAAUGAGAUAACUAUAGAUGGUUCAUGUGAAAUUAAUUCUUUGAAAAUUGUUCGAAUCAAAAUAAUAUGAAUAUCUUCUUUUAUUUGCAAAAGUUGCACCGUUGGGGAAUAUAGCGUAUGUGUUUAUCUUUUGAGAAGAUGAGUAUUCUUUUGAUGAGGUCUUGAGACGCUCAUGUAGUAGUGAUAUGGUGCAGAAGAAAAUAGAAAAAAACAUAUCAUUUACCAUAACAAACUAUGAAGUUAAGAAACUUAUUUUUAGUUAUUACCUUUAAUCAGAAGAAAGAUUUAAGAAUUAAUAGCAAAAAAUGAAAAAGAAGAUAGAUUAAACUACUGUAUAACAUAGGUUAUGAAAGUCUUUAAACAUAAAAAUAGGCAUAAAUUUGUUGGACUCCAAAUAAGGCAGUGUUAUUAAUAAAAUGGAAAAUGACAGAAGAUAUUAGGUUUUCUAAAAAAGGUACAUAUUAGGCAUUAAAUAAAAACUUUAUUUAGUUUUUUUUUUUAGAAUUCCUUAUUUAAGUUCUCGGGUUAAGUGGUUUGGUGCACCUAAGCGUACAUUCGUCUUUGCUCUUGUGACACCAGAGGGGAAUCCCAGAAUUAGUGACACAACAAGAACAACUGCGAUUUUUGUCUUGAGGGUUGCAAUUCAUUUGCUUGCAAGUUUGUUUAGCUGCAUUGCCCGCGUUAAGACCUUGGCCAUGAAC
rnacentral:lncRNA from 1 species